CUAAAAUGAGUAGAUGUAUGCUCAUUUUGGUGAUUUUUUUGAAAAUUUGUGAAGAGCGGAAAGGAGAUCGGGACUGACCUCGUCCUUUCUUGAUUUGUUGUCAACACAACAACCCAGUAUGAUUCCCACCCAAUUCAGAUGGAUGAUCGCGUGUAGCUUGCUAUGAACAUUAAACAGUCGAUGUACUAUAUACAACAAACUUUGAUGCCGUUUGUUGGUCCGCGAUGAUGAAUAACAAGACAACAUCAUUGAGGGAUGGGUAGAUUGAUUGAUUGAUGAACACACUCAAAUUAUUUCAGCUGUGAGUUUUUAUAUUGUUAAAAAAACC
rnacentral:lncRNA from 1 species